AGAGUUUGAUCGUGGCUCAGAACGAACGCUGGCGGCAUGCCUAACACAUGCAAGUCGAACGAGACCUUCGGGUCUAGUGGCGCACGGGUGCGUAACGCGUGGGAAUCUGCCCUUGGGUUCGGAAUAACUCGCCGAAAGGCGUGCUAAUACCGGAUGAUGUCGUAAGACCAAAGAUUUAUCGCCCAGGGAUGAGCCCGCGUAAGAUUAGGUAGUUGGUGAGGUAAAGGCUCACCAAGCCGACGAUCUUUAGCUGGUCUGAGAGGAUGAUCAGCCACACUGGGACUGAGACACGGCCCAGACUCCUACGGGAGGCAGCAGUGGGGAAUAUUGGACAAUGGGCGAAAGCCUGAUCCAGCAAUGCCGCGUGAGUGAUGAAGGCCUUAGGGUUGUAAAGCUCUUUUACCCGGGAUGAUAAUGACAGUACCGGAGAAU
rnacentral:rRNA from 1 species